rnacentral:rRNA from 1 species
AUGAAAGUUGGGAACACCCGAAGCCUGUGUCCUAACCGCAAGGAGGAAGCAGUCGAAGGUGGGUUCAAUGAUUGGGGUUAAGUCGUAACAAGGUAAC